rnacentral:misc_RNA from 1 species
AACGCACGAGACCUGCGGACCUGCGGAGGGAUCAUUAGUGAACGCCCUCACGGGCUUAUAACUAUUCCAAACCUCUGUGAACCGUGCCCUUCGGGGCUAUUUUACAAACAUGGUGUAAUGAACGUCAUAUAUCAUAACAAAACAGAACUUUUAACAAUGGAUCUCU